GGGUAGGUAUGCAAACUGGUGAAGCAAGUAGUCUGUAAAACUAUGACGUAAGAUACAUUGGGAGUUCAAAUCUCUCCCUACCCACCA
rnacentral:tRNA from 1 species